rnacentral:misc_RNA from 1 species
UAUCCGUAGGUGAACCUGCGGAUGGAUCAUUAACACAUCCCAUCAAAAAAAAAAACAGGAUCCAAACCACACAUUUGGUUUCCUUUUUUUUUUUUUAACCCCCCCCCCAAACCCAACUUUUCAACGGGAAGUUUCUCUGACUCUAUGUGGAUUAAGUCAUUUCAAGGAGUUACUUUCCGUUCGUUUUUUUUUUCACCCUUUUUCAUUCUUUUAAACCACAAAAACUAAUCAAAUCAAAUUGACAUAAAACUUUUUUUCCCCUUCCUCUUUACGAAAGUCUUUGAAGAAGAAAAAAAAAAACACAAACAAACUAAUGUACAACUCUUAACAACGGAUAUCUUGGCUCUC